rnacentral:misc_RNA from 1 species
UUUUUUUUUUCUUUCCUUCAUUUCUCCAAGAUAAAUUAUUAUAAGGGAUAUAAACCAAGAAUAUUACAGCCGACUCGACUUCUCAUCUUGAUCUCCAUAAAUUAAGGGAUUUUAACUCACCUGAGUCGAGAAUGUACGAAGAGCAUCAGACUAACAGCUUCAAAGAAUGGUUGGAGUGAGGUAACCAUCAUAUCUUUCUAUCCCCUGCGGCAGAAAAACACAAAAUCUGGAUGAUUGACCUGAAGCAGUCUCAACCAAUUGUCAGCAACCUGCAACAGAGAAUUUGCCAAUUGGCGUUCAUUUCCCCCAUUAGGAGUCCACAAGGACCCCUUGAACUUGCAUCAUUCAAGACCAAAAACAGGCAAGCGCAUCUUAGGCACACCAUCCAUCUCACUGGGAUAUGCCACCACUGGGGCCUGAGCAGUUUGUGAAACUCCCAAUGGUGUAUGAAGAGAAUGGUAUGUCAGAAAGCACGCAUCCAGGUCUUUCAAUGUUGGUCCAUUUGGUAUCCUGUAAAUGGGAUACC